CCGGUAUCAAGCCGGAGGAAGGUGGGAUGAUGUCAAGUCAGCAUGGCCUUUAUAUCCUGGGCUACACACACGCUACAAUGGCAGAUACAAUAGGUUGCGAAACCGCGAGGUGGAGCCAAUCCUCAAAGUACUGUCUCAGUUCAGAUUGUAGGCUGCAACUCGACUACGUGAAGUCGGAAUCGCUAGUAAUCGCAGAUCAGCAUGCUGCGGUGAAUACGUUCCCGGGUCCUU
rnacentral:rRNA from 1 species